rnacentral:lncRNA from 1 species
GAACACAACCUUCAUUUUACCCUUUCCUUGCCCCCACAUUUACCAAAUCACAUCUGAUAUUGCCGAUUGUUUUUAUUAUCUUUUACAUUGUUUUCCACAAGUCCCUAUUUCAAGAUGUCAUGUGUGUCUAAUAUACAAUACUUGGACAGUUACAAUGGCUUCAGCAUUAUUAUUUUUAACUUUUCAAUCUCUAACUUGAGACAAAUUGACCCUCCAAUGUGAUCUAGCUUUCCAGACUUGGGCAGUUCCUCUUCAUAGUGCAUGUAAUAAUAUAAGGACAUAGAACAAACAGAAACAAAGAGUUAGGAAAGCUCUUUCAUCAUAUGUUAUGGCCACCUAUGUCAUCAUGAAUAGAAAUGUACCAGGUGUUAGACACAUUAGUGCCCAUCUUCACGCCAAGUUGUUUCCCCAAUAUAGAACUCAAGACAUUAGAAACCUGAAAAAAUUCAAUCAUGCUUUUUCUUGACCAAGUCUUUAUUAGCAUACGAUCAAUUGAAGUACAAGCUUAGACCAUCUCAACCAGAUAUGUUCACCUAGGUGAAGCUCAAAAUAAGCCCUAGAGAAGUUGAAUUUUACUAGAAUAGCUAACAAUCCUGAUAUCAUCCCUUUCCAUCUAUCCUGCUUCAGUAGCACUUACCUCUUCCUUAACUCUUCUCUUGAUUGCUACAUCAACAAAGAUAGAUUACUACAGUACAUUGUAGUUAGUUUCAACAAUAAAUGUUAAGCCUCAAUUCUUCAAUACAUCAACAAAGAGAUGAUGUCACUAUUAUACUGGUAGACAUGAACUAAAUUGGUAGACAUUCAGCAAUCAAAAUGAAGUCAGUAAAUCAUCAAUUUUUACUUAAAUUGAAGUAAAUCCCAAACAUCCACCAACCUAACUAUUACUUAAAUUUAAGUAAAUCCCAAAAACCCACCGACCUAACUAUGUAAUAUAACUAGCAAAAAAAAUAACUUCAAAUAAUUUAGACCUACAUUACAGUUAAAAGACAAAAAAUUACCACAAAUCUAUCUACUAAUCAACUGAGAACUAUAUAAGACCCCAAAUAACAUAAAACAAGAUAAACCCAACAAAAAUUUAUAAACUUUAACAAGGAAUAAUUUAAAGAAAAACCAACCUGAAAUCCUCUCAGUGCGUUGACUCCUGCCCAGUUCCACAGCACCGAUACUCAAAACAAGACCAGCAUACCAAAUAACCCCAACAAAAACCCACUUCCAAAUCUCCAUUUUCUUGCUUAUAAUCCAAUGAAAUCACAUAAAGAAGGAACUUCAAAGAACCAGAGAGCAAGAAAGGUGGGAUUUCUGGAGGAUAUGCCCACAAAGAAUAAGGCUUUUUUUUAGCUUAUGAGGAGAAAGGAGAGAUUUUUAUUUUUCAGAAAUAUUAUUACAGUUGAAAUGUCAUAAGAAGUAGUUAAGAGAGAGUUUUAUAUAAAAGAAUCAUAAGAAAUAGAGACAGAACCGGAGAUUUUGAUAGGGAAGGCCAAGCAAAUUGGCUUCAAGAACACAGAGAAUAUUUUUUAAGGGUUUUUUUUUAUUAAAUUUUGUGUGAUGUGUGGUCUGAUGGAAAGUCCAUCUCAUCACCAGACCAUAGCCAUGUUGUUCAACGAUUCAACCUCCUCUUAGUUAUUUAUUUUUUG